CUUACGGGGGCUGACAGGGCUAAUUAGUAAUGAGGCUAGGGCUUCCGGUUGUGUUAUCCUGGCCUUAGGAUGCUACAAUAGGGUACGAUUACAUAGGUCUCGCUACCGAACGAAACUCGUGAGAUUAAAGAAGUUUCAUUGCUACGGCCCUUGUGCUGGGCCGGUUAAUUCCGAUCCUCGCGCUACGGCCGGCUUCCCAGCUCAUCCAGCCACGAGCGGCACUCCGUCUGGCCGGCUGGGCCGGGUUCCAGGUUGAUGCUCGAAAAAUUGACGUAGUUGAAUUUAUAUGCGAUAACCUCGAUAUUAAUUGCGCCGACGACGUGAUCUGAAAGGGAGGUUACCUAGGAGCAAUUCCCUAAAUCUAAUCUGAGUAAGGUUAAUGGUCUGUGAUUACGCGGGCCAUAACAAUAAAUAACAGUGUUGGAGGGGUACAGUCCUAACCCAUUAAACGCGCGGACCACGGAAGGAACCUACACCAUCGGCAAAGAGUCCGAGGGAGAGGCUUUAGCUUGGGAUUAAGAGGUAGUGGGCAGUGGUGGUACCAUCCUGGGAUAGGAUGGUAGCUUUAUGCUAUCCCGUCUUUAAACUUACUACGCAGCGGCCGUGCUUCCGGCAGGCUAAGCAGCUAAAUAGAACUUAGUAGCCUAGUCGCUCGUCUCGGUCGCAGUCGGAAAAUAGAUUAUUUACGCGGGGAGGGUCUUCAGCCCCAAACAACGUGCAUAAUCGAGAUCUUAAUGAUACCAAUAGGCUCAUC
rnacentral:rRNA from 1 species